CAAAAGAACUCCAGCGUUUGCCUGCUUCUAUCACACUCCAGUGCCUUCAAGCAGGUUUUCCCCCCAUAUUUUACCUAAAGUUUAUAGCUGUUACCUGUGCAAAGGUUGGUUCAGUGGGGACUAUUCUGCCAUUACCAAAAGUUGGGGCCUGUUCUCUACUUUUUAAUUGCCAUGAGUAUUUACCAAGUGCCUAUGAUGCGAGAAAGAGAGAUGGUCCCUGCUCCCACAGAGCUUAUAUCUUCAUGACUCCGGGAUCCAGCUAGAUUCAGAAAUAAUUGCAGCAAGCACUUGUCUGUGUACCCAUCAGCAGCACUGUAUAAAGCACAUUUUUCACAUUAUUGCUCACUGUUACAGUGAAAUUGUUAAAAUCAUAUAUUGCUGCACCAAUUGGCUUUAGAUGGGAAAGGGUUAUAAGAAAUCAGAAGGUUUAUGCUGCAAAGAGGGAGAGUGAGAGUUGGCAUGCGGCUGGCCGGAAAAGAGGCAUAAACUUGGAAAACCCAAGAUCCCAGCCCGGUGUGCAGCCCCAGCAGCCAGACCAGCCUUGGGCAACAGUGUGCGAUGUUCAGCUGUCUGCGUCUCCAGUGCUCCUAUUCCAUUGCAUCUGAGUGAGGGAUUUGGGAGGUAAAACAGGCAAAUAAUGAAAUAUACAAAUCUUCAUUGUGCAAUUUUGAUCAGUUGCUUCUCCUAUGCAACCCUCACCCCAGUAGAGACACAGCCUCUCGUCGGAACGCUCCUGCACACCCUUCUCAGCAACCCCCACCACCUGCCCCCAACUCCCCACCAGAGCAACCAACGUCCUGAUGUCUCCCAUCAGAGCUCUGAAGGCUGCUUCCACCUCUGCCCAGACCGCAGAUGCUCCCAGGCUGCAUCCUCUGCCCGUCUCUUCUCUCCAGCCCUCUCUCAUGGCAGUCCCACCUGACAACUCCUGUGGCCUCCUAGGUGUCCUGCAAUGGCCUUGUCACUGGUGUCACUCCUCCAGGCCUUCUCAGGUAAUUCCAGAUACACAAGCGCUCUCCCAACAAGCCAUAUUCUCACCUCUGCAAAGCAUUUCCAAGCAUCUCCGCUUCCUCUGCGUAAGCGACACGGCCCAGCCACCCGAGCCCUCGUUGCCAUCCACCACUGGGCAUCAGCUUCCACUCCCGUCUUUCUCGUGUCCUCUGGUCCAGCCCCUGGUAAGCUCCAGCCAAGCACUGCCUGCUGGGCCUCUGGUCUUUACCUGUUCUGUUCCCUCUGCCAGGAGUUUUUUUAAGUAGAAAAAGGCGAGAAUCUGGAGUGGGAAUGUAAAAUGGUGUGGCUGCUGCAGAAAACACUUUGGUGGUUCCUGAAAAAAGUUAGGCAUACACUUAGCAUGGGACUCAGCCUUUACCUCUUAAGCACACGCCCCAUGGAAACAAAACCUGUCCCCUUGAAGACGCUCAUAGCUACGUCCUUCGUAACAGCUGGAAGGCGGAUGUUGGGAACAGGCCCCCCAAAAUCUGGCCAUAAACUGGCCCCAAAACUGUACACAAACAAAAUCUCUGCAGCACUGUGACAUGCUCGUGAUGGCCAUGACGCCCACGCUGGAAGGUUGUGGGUUUACCGGAAUGAGGGCAAGGAACACCUGGCCUGCCCAGGGCAGAAAACUGCUUAAAGGCGUUCUUAAUCCACAAACAAUAGCAUGAGCGAUCUGUGCCUUAAAGACAUGCUCCUGCUGCAGAUAACUAGCCAGAGCCAUCCCUUUAUUUCCCAUAAAGAAUACUUUUAAUCUAUAAUCUAUAGAAACAAUGCUUAUCACUGGCUUGCUGUCAAAUAUGUGG